GAGUGGUUGCGUCUUCCGCUUCAAAUCCUUUGGGGCGUGCUUCACUCCGUGCCCCAGCAGGUCAAUUCCUCG
rnacentral:tRNA from 1 species